rnacentral:rRNA from 1 species
CACGUAGGCGGUUUGUUAAGUGAGAGGUGAAAUCCCAGAGCUCAACUCUGGAACUGCCUGUCAUACAGGCAAGCUAGAGUCCAGAAGAGGUGAGUGGAACUCCUAGUGUAGAGGUGGAAUUCGUAGAUAUUAGGAAGAACACCAGUGGCGAAGGCGGCUUACUGGUCCGGAACUGACGCUGAGGUGCGAAAGCGUGGGGAGCAAACAGG